GAAGGGGAGACACCUUGAUCAGGAAGGUGGUUUUCCCAGGGUGAAAAUCAUCACUUGCAGUGCGGGUGUGUUGACCCCUGUGAUUUCCACAGAUGCAGAGCUAAUGAAUGUC
ensembl:snRNA U1 U1 spliceosomal RNA